UAGGGAAUCUUCCGCAAUGGACGCAAGUCUGACGGAGCAACGCCGCGUGAGUGAAGAAGGAUUUCGGUUCGUAAAACUCUGUUGUUAGAGAAGAACAGCGCAUAGAGUAACUGUUAUGCGUGUGACGGUAUCUAACCAGAAAGCCACGGCUAACUACGUGCCAGCAGCCGUGGUAAUACGUAGGUGGCAAGCGUUGUCCGGAUUUAUUGGGCGUAAAGCGAGCGCAGGCGGUCAAUUAAGUCUGAUGUGAAAGCCCCCGGCUCAACCGGGGAGGGUCAUUGGAAACUGGUUGACUUGAGUGCAGAAGAGGAGAGUGGAAUUCCAUGUGUAGCGGUGAAAUGCGUAGAUAUAUGGAGGAACACCAGUGGCGAAGGCGACUCUCUGGUCUGUAACUGACGCGGAGGCUCGAAAGCGUGGGUAGCAAACAGG
rnacentral:rRNA from 1 species